GAUGAAGAACGCAGCGAAAUGCGAUAAGUAAUGUGAAUUGCAGAAUUCAGUGAAUCAUCGAAUCUUUGAACGCACAUUGCGCCCGCCAGUAUUCUGGCGGGCAUGCCUGUUCGAGCGUCAUUUCAACCAUCAAGCCCCCGGCUUGUGUUGGGGACCUGCGGCUGCCGCAGGCCCUGAAAACCAGUGGCGGGCUCGCUAGUCACUCCGAGCGUAGUAAUACAUCUCGCUCAGGGCGUGCUGCGGGAUCCGGCCGUUAAAAAGCCUUAUUUACCCAAGGUUGACCUCGGAUCAGGUAGGAAGACCCGCUGAACUUAAGCAUAUCAAUAAGCGGAGGA
rnacentral:misc_RNA from 1 species